AUUGAACGCUGGCGGCAGGCCUAACACAUGCAAGUCGAGCGGCAGCGGGAAAGUAGCUUGCUACUUUUGCCGGCGAGCGGCGGACGGGUGAGUAAUGCCUGGGGAUCUGCCCAGUCGAGGGGGAUAACUACUGGAAACGGUAGCUAAUACCGCAUACGCCCUACGGGGGAAAGCAGGGGACCUUCGGGCCUUGCGCGAUUGGAUGAACCCAGGUGGGAUUAGCUAGUUGGUGAGGUAAUGGCUCACCAAGGCGACGAUCCCUAGCUGGUCUGAGAGGAUGAUCAGCAACACUGGAGCUGAGACACGGUCCGGACUCCUACGGGAGGCAGCAGUGGGGAAUAUUGCACAAUGGGGGAAACCCUGAUGCAGCCAUGCCGCGUGUGUGAAGAAGGCCUUCGGGUUGUAAAGCACUUUCAGCGAGGAGGAAAGGUUGGUAGCUAAUAACUGCCAGCUGUGACGUUACUCGCAGAAGAAGCACCGGCUAACUCCGUGCCAGCCGCCGCGGUAAGAC
rnacentral:rRNA from 1 species